UACAGAGGUCCCGAGCGUUGUUCGGAUUCACUGGGCGUAAAGCGUGCGCAGGCGGUUUUGUAAGACAGAUGUGAAAUGCCCGGGCUUAACCUGGGAACUGCAUUUGUGACUGCAUGGCUAGAGUUUGGCAGAGGGGGGUAGAAUUCCACGUGUAGCAGUGAAAUGCGUAGAUAUGUGGAGGAACACCGAUGGCGAAGGCAGCUCUCUGGGUCAAGACUGACGCUCAUGCACGAAAGCGUGGGGAGCAAACAGG
rnacentral:rRNA from 1 species